CUCCAGUCUCUCUCCAGCUGCUGUCUCUCUCCAGUCUCUCUCCAGUCUCUCUCCAGUCUCUCUCCAGUCUUUCUCCAGUCUCUCUCCAGCUGCUGUCUCUCUCCAGUCUCUCUCCAGUCUCUCUCCAGUCUCUCUCCAGUCUCUCUCCAGUCUCUCUCCAGCUGCUGUCUCUCUCCAGUCUCUCUCCAGUCUCUCUCCAGUCUCUCUCCAGUCUCUCUCCAGUCUCUCUCCAGUCUUUCUCCAGCUGCUCUGCUGUCUCUCUCCAGUCUCUCUCCAGUCUUUCUCCAGCUGCUGUCUCUCUCCAGUCUCUCUCCAGCUGCUGUCUCUCUCCAGUCUCUCUCCAGACUCUCUCCAGUCUCUCUCCAGUCUCUCUCCAGUCUCUCUCCAGUCUCUCUCCAGCUGCUGUCUCUCUCCAGUCUCUCUCCAGACUCUCUCCAGUCUCUCUCCAGUCUCUCUCCAGUCUCUCUCCAGUUGCUGUCUCUCUCCAGUCUCUCUCCAGACUCUCUCCAGUCUCUCUCCAGUCUCUCUCCAGUCUCUCUCCAGUCUCUCUCCAGCUGCUGUCUCUCUCCAGUCUCUCUCCAGACUCUCUCCAGUCUCUCUCCAGUCUCUCUCCAGUCUCUCUCCAGCUGCUGUCUCUCUCCAGUCUCUCUCCAGACUCUCUCCAGUCUCUCUCCAGUCUCUCUCCAGUCUCUCUCCAGUCUCUCUCCAGUCUCUCUCCAGCUGCUGUUCUCUCCAGUCUCUCUCCAGUCUCUCUCCAGUCUCUCUCCAGACUCUCUCCAGUCUCUCUCCAGUCUCUCUCCAGUCUCUCUCCAGUCUCUCUCCAUUCUCUCUCCACUCUCUCCUCAGUCUCUCUCCAGUCUCUCUCCAGUCUCUCUCCAGUCUCUCUCCAUCUCUCUCAGUCUCUCUCCAGACUCUCUCCAGUCUCUCUCCAGUCUCUCUCCAGUGUCUCUCCAGUCUCUCUCCAGUCUCUCUCCAGACUCUCUCCAGUCUCUCUCCAGUCUCUCUUCAGUCUCUCUCCAGUCUCUCUCCAGUCUCUCUCCAGUCUCUCUUCAGUCUCUCUCUAGUCUCUCCAGUCUCUCUCCAGUCUCUCUCCAGUCUCUCUCCAGUCUCUCUCCAGUCUCUCUCCAGCUGCUGUCUCUCUCCAGUCUCUCUCCAGUCUCUCUCCAGUCUCUCUCCAGUCUCUCUCCAGUCUCUCUUCAGUCUCUCUCCAGUCUCUCUCCAGUCUCUCUCCAGUCUCUCUUCAGUCUCUCUCUAGUCUCUCCAGUCUCUCUCCAGUCUCUCUCCAGUCUCUCUUCAGUCUCUCUCCAGUCUCUCUCCAGUCUCUCUCCAGUCUCUCUUCAGUCUCUCUCCAGUCUCUCUCCAGUCUCUCUCCAGUCUCUCUCUAGUCUCUCCAGUCUCUCUCCAGUCUCUCUUCAGUCUCUCUCCAGUCUCUCUCUAGUCUCUCCAGUCUCUCUCCAGUCUCUCUCCAGUCUCUCUCCAGUCUCUCCAGUCUCUCUUCAGUCUCUCUCUAGUCUCUCCAGUCUCUCUCCAGUCUCUCUCCAGUCUCUCUUCAGUCUCUCUCCAGUCUCUCUCCAGUCUCUCUCCAGUCUCUCUCCAGUCUCUCUUCAGUCUCUCUCCAGUCUCUCUCCAGUCUCUCUCCAGUCUCUCUCCCAGACUCUCUCCAGUCUCUCUCCAGACUCUCUCCAGUCUCUCUCCAGUCUCUCUUCAGUCUCUCUUCAGUCUCUCUCCAGUCUCUCUCUAGUCUCUCCAGUCUCUCUCCAGUCUCUCUCCAGUCUCUCUCCAGUCUCUCUUCAGUCUCUCUCCAGUCUCUCUCCAGUCUCUCUCCAGUCUCUCUCCAGACUCUCUCCAGUCUCUCUCCAGACUCUCUCCAGUCUCUCUCCAGUCUCUCUUCAGUCUCUCUUCAGUCUCUCUCCAGUCUCUCUCUAGUCUCUCCAGUCUCUCUCCAGUCUCUCUCCAGUCUCUCUUCAGUCUCUCUCCAGUAUCUCUCCAGUCUCUCUCCAGUCUCUCUCCAGUCUCUCUCCAGUCUCUCUUCAGUCUCUCUCCAGUCUCUCUCCAGUCUCUCUCCAGUCUCUCUCCAGUCUCUCUUCAGUCUCUCUCCAGUCUCUCUCCAGUCUCUCUCCAGUCUUUCUCCAGUCUCUCUCCAGUCUCUCUCUAGUCUCUCCAGUCUCUCUCCAGUCUCUCUUCAGUCUCUCUCCAGUCUCUCCUCAGUCUCUCUCCAGUCUCUCUUCAGUCUCUCUGUCUUUCUGUCUCUCCUC
rnacentral:lncRNA from 1 species